rnacentral:rRNA from 1 species
UACGGGGGGGGGCAAGCGUUGUUCGGAAUUACUGGGCGUAAAGGGCUCGUAGGUGGUCAACUAAGUCAUACGUGAAAUCCCUCGGCUUAACCGGGGAACUGCGCCUGAUACUGGUUGACUUGAGUUUGGGAGAGGGACGCGGAAUUCCAGGUGUAGCGGUGAAAUGCGUAGAUAUCUGGAGGAACACCGGUGGCGAAGGCGGCAUCCUGGACCAACACUGACGCUGAGUGAGCGAAAGCCAGGGGAGCAAACGGG